rnacentral:piRNA from 1 species
UGAUUGAAAAUAGCUCUGGACUUGGGAAGU